GCAAGUCGAGGGGCAGCAUAAAACAAGCUUGCUUGUUUGGUGGCGACCGGUGCACGGGUGCGUAACGCGUAUGCAACCUACGCUGUACUGAGGGAUAGCCCGGAGAGAUUCGGGUUAACCUGUCAUAGGAUCUUAGAUCGGCAUCGAUUAGAGAUUAAAGGUUACGGUACAGGAUGGGCAUGCGUCCCAUUAGCUAGAUGGUAAGGUAACGGCUUACCAUGGCAACGAUGGGUAGGGGGCCUGAGAGGGUGGUC
rnacentral:rRNA from 1 species